AGCAGCCGCGGUAAUUCCAGCUCCAAUAGCGUAUAUUAAAGUUGUUGCAGUUAAAAAGCUCGUAGUUGAAUUUCGGGAUCAACAUGUCGGUCGUGCCUCCGGUACGCACUGGCAUCGUUGAUUUCUACCUUCUGACGAACCAUGAUGUCAUUAAUUUGGUGUCAUGGGGAAUCAGGACCGUUACUUUGAAAAAAUUAGAGUGUUUAAAGCAGGUACACGCUUGAAUACAUUAGCAUGGAAUAAUGAAAUAGGACGUUUGACCCUAUUUUGUUGGUUUCUAGGAUCGACGUAAUGAUUAAUAGGGAUAGUUGGGGGCAUUAGUAUUCAAUUGUCAGAGGUGAAAUUCUUGGAUUUAUUGAAGACUAACUACUGCGAAAGCAUUUGCCAAGGAUGUUUUCAUUAAUCAAGAACGAAAGUUAGGGGAUCGAAGACGAUCAGAUACCGUCGUAGUCUUAACCAUAAACUAUGCCGACUAGGGAUCGGAUGAUGUUAAUUUUUUAAUGACUCAUUCGGCGCCG
rnacentral:rRNA from 1 species